AAGGUUGGGAUAUCCUUACUUAUCUUGUUAGAUUUCUUAUUGUUACUCCUUGGUUUUAAGCUAUGUGCUUCCCGUGUGUGUAUUGCAUGGGAUUUGGAUUUUCUGGACCAGGUUGAUUGCUGUUCUAGAGUUCAUAUUUGGGGUCAGCCGAUCUGCUGCAUAUGAAUUUAUUGGGCUCUUAUCUUCUCUUGGCUGCUUCUCGUUCAGAGUCUACAAAGAUCGAUUAUUUUCUCAUCUCUCUUAUAUAUUACUUGUGUGCACUUUUUCCCUGUACUUGUUCAGAGGGAGUGUCAUAAGUAAAAAUAAAUGCCAGCUUAUUUUCUUGGUUGGUUUCAGUUAUGAAGUAAUGGACAAAUGUGUGUUGUGCCAUGCCUGCAGGAAAGAGUUUCAGUUAGUUGCUCCGGAUAGUGCCUAGGCCUUUAUGGCAAGUAGGCUAAACUCUUUCAAAUGAUAAGCUCUUCGCUGCUACGAACAGAGUUUAUAGUUAACUGAAACAAGAGAACAGAGUUGUAGUUUCGGUUUUUGCUUACAGUGGUUGAUGUGCUAUGUUUGAUGCAAUGCAUUCUUAUCAUGCUAUGGAUAUGGGCACAACAAUCAGAGAACUGGGAUCUGAAUGAUUCUAUAGUUAUAUGAUGUUUCUUAUGUGCACCUAUUUUCCAUAUGUAUUUUGUUGAGAGGAAGUAUCGUCUAGAAAACAGAGAAGAAGAAAAAAAAUCUAGAUUCUUUUAUCAACUAAAGACAUGACCACUUUUAGUGACCUUUAUCAAAGUAUGAUGCAAUAGGGUAGCCUCCACAGAUGUAGAACCAAGAUCCAUUAGUCCGCCUUCAUCUGCCUGACACGGUUUAAUCAGGAUACUGACGAGAGACCUCCAAAAGUAAAUUUAUUUCUUCACCAGCUGAUCUACAUUGAAGACGUGUCCUACUUUAGGCAGGUACUGCAUAGCCAUGCAAUGGCACAUUCUGACCUCAUCUUUACCGGUAGUAUUAAAGAUAAUAUCCCCAUUUCAUAAUGAUCUUGCAUCAGAGUGUGGUAAAUAUUGCAAUUUACGGUAUAUUUAUAUCUUGAUUUGUUGAGAUAACCGAGAUUGUACUCAUUCCAAUUUUGUGGUGUAUUUACCCUUUAUUAUUGUUUGAUGAAAAUAUUAUGUCAUCCUACGCUGUACUUUUCUGGAUCAUGCAUAUGUAAGAGUUCCUAAAAUACUAUUACACAGACUUCUCUUUACCCCCUUAUGUAGUUUUAAAUAUAAAUGAACUACUUUCUAGAGAAGGUGAAUUUCUCUGCAGGAUAAGGAUGUUUCUUCUCAAGAAUAUGCUAUUUGGCAAAUCCAACAUUUAACUAGAUAAAAUAAACAAUGUACAGGAUUAUUGGAAUGGACCAAGUUAUCAGUGUUCCUGAAAUGCGAUACUAGGAUCUUUGUACGUCAACACUCUUUGAUGCUUAUCUUGAUGAUUUUUCCUCUGUUUUACAUACAUUUGUGUUGUUAACUCACUUUCAUGUUCUCGAUUGGCAUAUAAUCAACUUAGAAAAAGUUAUUUGGGCUGAGUACGACAUUUGAGCUGCAUUUUUUAAGCAUAUUAGUGUACAGAAGUGAACUUGUAUCACUUGCCACAUGAGAUUAUUGUCAGUUACCUGAUCACCUAUUAUGCUACCCCAUUGAUAUGCAGGGCAACUCUUUCUGAUUCUUGGAGAUUUAAAUAUACCUUUGAGGCUUUCAUGAAGGGCAUGCCUCACGCAAGAUUUACUUGAAUACCCUCCAGGAGAUCAGGAAAAAUUAUGGCUGUUACCUAAUCAACAAUAUGUUUUUCCAUAGGCUGUCGAUUUGCUUUAUGCUUAAGCGGAGUUAACUGCAGCUCCUGUUUGUCAAUCGGUGCCAUCUCAGAUCGCUGUGGAGAUGAUUGAUCUUUCUGGCAAGUUCCUGCUGCAGGCUAUGUUCGAGAAGCUCGACCUGCCUCAGCCACACUAUUACACCCGCGCUCUUGAGCAAGGCGGGUAUCUGUCAGAGAUUGAGUUCUUACCCCUCGACAGAACUGCUGCACCAUAGAUGUAAACCAGUGUCCAUGACAAGUUUCCUUGUGCAAGGACGGAGCAAGUUCACGUAACAAUGUAGCAGCAAAAGCAAUCAGCUACAUGGAAAGGCGCUGCCAGAAGGUGAUUGUCGAUUACAACUACACAAAGCAACAAGCACAAGAGAUUAAUGCAAGCCUCGCAGAUUCAGUGACUCGGAAAGACAAGGUGAUAAAGGAGCAAAAACAACAAAUUCGAGACUAACCAUCUGAUCAGAUUCAUCAACUUGUUGCGGCUGGUUCAGACCCAAAUACUCAAGUGACCAGCCAUCAUCUCAGGCAAGCACUACAACAACUUACUGGUACGGAAUCCCUCUCGCUGCAGAAGGUCUCAUGUCCGUAUGAUGUCGAGUAUGGUUCAGCUCAUGAUGGAGCUUCGGUUGAUGACCUGACUGAUGGCUACAAUGGCUCUGAUUAGAUGUAACCUGACACUCCUCGAUCACAAUGACUGGUGAUCAUUCUUGCCCAGUGCCUCCUGCCUUGCCUUCCUAUGUUUUAGACAAUUUAAUUAUGAACCAUGUACUGUAUGUUCUAGCUGUUUCUAUCGCUUUUGUUGUCCCGCAUUUUA